AAGGCGUAGAAGCAGGUGGCAGCACCAGACAGGAUUCCAGUCAGGCCAAAUGGAGCAAAGCCACCCACGCCAAAUUCCUCCUCGACCCUGAGUGGCAAAGGACAAGAUGCACAGUUUAACAAUCAAACAGGUUCCAGUUGGCUGUGUCUCCCUUAACAAAGCCAGAGAUGAUAACAAAGCCCAGAACCACCAGAUUGAUGCCGGUGAAGAUCUUAUUCACCAGUGCUGAUUCGUUCACGCCAAAGGCCAGAAGUCCUGAGGGCAAGACAUGAGGAGAUAGAAUUCAUAUUCCAGCACCAAUAACAACACGUCCUGAUAUGUGGGUGGAUGUGUUUGUACUUCAUAACGUCCAAGAUGCCAACAUUAGUCGGCAACACCAAUCCACCAAUUAUCUAUUUCUAACACUGCUAGUGGCCUGUCACACUAGGUGCAAUAUUAGUGGGACAACUGUUCUGGUUCUUAAGCAGCGUUUUUCAUACAAUGCUAACAAUGGUUAAUGUGGACUGCAUUAACUAAACACAGUUUAACGACACAUUUAUAAAAA